AGACGAGGUAGUAACACGUAGGUAGAUCCCCCGAAGUCGGGCAUAGCCAUCCGAAAGGAUGGGUAAUUCCCGAUAGUCCCGCAAGGGUAAAGGUUUUUCGCUUCGGGAGUUGCCUGCGUAGUAUCAGCUAGUUGGUAGGGUAACGGCCUACCAAGGCUACGACGCUUAGGGGGGCUGAGAGGCCGAUCCCCACCGAUGGAACUGCGACACGGUCCAUACUCCUACGGGAGGCUGCAGACGAGAAUAUUCCGCAAUGGACGAAAGUUUGACGGAGCGACGCCGCGUGAUGGAUGAAGUGCCUUGGUACGUAAACAUCUUUUAUCGGGGACGAAGUUUAUUGACGGUACCCGAUGAAUAAGGAGCUCCUAACUCUGUGCCAGCAGGAGCGGUAAUA
rnacentral:rRNA from 1 species